rnacentral:rRNA from 1 species
AACGAACGCUGGCGGCAUGCCUAACACAUGCAAGUCGAACGAGACCUCCCUGCCUUUUUGCGGAGGGCUGCGUAACACCUGGUAAGCUGCCCUUAGGUUCCGUAUAACUCCCUUUAAGGGGACCUAAUACCAGAUAAUGUCUUCCGACCAAAGAUGUAUGGCCUUUGGGUGGGGCCGCGUUGGAUUGGCGAGUUGGUAGGGUAAAAGCCGGCCAAGGCGACGAUCCAUAGCUGGUCUGAGAGGAUGAUCAGCCACACUGGGACUCAGGCACGGCCCAGACUCCGACGCAAGGCAGCAGUGGGGAAUAUAGGAGGAUGGACGAAGACCUGGUCAAGCAGUGCCGGGUGAGUGAUGAAGGCCGUAGGGUUGUAAAGCUCUUUUACACGAGAUGAUAAUGACGGUACCGGGAGAAUAAGCUCCGGCUAACUCCGUG